GGACUGCUCAUUGGGUAAGGAAUUGAAGGGGACAGUCCUGGGUGUGGUGCACUGCAGUGUCUUUAUCAGUCACAUAAAUGGUGGCAUUCAGUGCACUCUCGGCAAGUUUGCCGAUGGCACCACACAGCUUUGGCAGAAGGCUUGGAUCCAGUGGUCUGCAGAGGUCCCUUCCAACCCCAGAGAUUCUGUGAUAGUGUGAGAAGGGAGCCAUGGAGAUGCUGACAUGUGGGGGGCUGCAGGAGGGCGUGUGGGGUCUCCAUGGCAACUACCAGGACUUUGUGAUGCACGGGCAGCCGCACACAAAGGCCAUUGUGACAUGGUGGUGUCCUGGUGCCUUUAGGAACCAGAGUCCCAGUGCUGCUCACUCUCAGGCGAGUAGCUCCGUGAGGAGGUAGCUUCCCUGGGUGCUUGUAGCUUUGUCUCCGUGAGCGGAUACAGAGAUGGCGAAGGAGCAGGACCAGAAGGCCCACUCCCAGGCCGAGAAAGGACUGCCGAGCGUGCGGGAACAGCGCCAGGUGGGCCGCAGGCCGCAGCAAGCUGUGCUGCCAGGCAGACAGAGCCAGGAUUUGGCUGUCCGUGGGAUCCAACUGCCACCACUGCCCCACCCAGCACAAGCCUCUGGGAGCCGCCGUGCACAGGCGGACAGAAUGGAAGGGAGACGGCCUCUGCCAGCCUUGCCACCUCUCCCACGGCGGGCGCAGUCACUGCCAGCUGCGCCCCGGAAUGCAGCCACUGCUCGGGGACGAGUUCACGCAUUCUCACUGCCAGCAAUAGCUUUCGGGAGUAUCCCAAGAGGCAGAGCUGCCCCUGGUCUUCAGUACCAGGACAUGGCAGCAAGGGUUGAGGGCUGGCAGGAAGAUCUGUCUGUCCGUGCAAUCCCCCUCAAGCCUGCAGAGAGGACACCCAAGUCCCUCAGGUUGGCAUACUGGGUGCGUCUGGGAGCCACACGACCAGGACCCUGGCUGAAGCGAACACGGCCUGGGCGAUGUGCACCCACCAGCACUGUAAGAACACCGGCACGAAGAACCCAGGUGCUGGCCCCCAAGGCUGGGAAAGUCACCUGAGAAUGAGACGCAACGUGCUGCCAGUGCUCAGGAGGACAGCGGAGAUGCUCACAGGGUCUCUACAUCACGCUCCCUGGCAGCAGAGCAGGCAGCAGAGAAGGAAGCAGAGCAGGCAGCAGAGCAGGCAGCAGUGCAGGCAGCAGAGAAGGAAGCAGAGCAGGCAGCAGAGCAGGCAGCAGACGAUGGUGCCAAAGGUGCUGGCACUUCUCAGGCCAUGCUGGAUGCCGAAGACAGCAAAGAGAGGGCCCGCUCUGCCAGGAGAGGGGACAGGUUCCUGCCCUGCUCUCUUUGCUGUUCCACCUACAGCGCUGUUGGCAAAGAUGAGCAGGAUGAGGGGAAAGACACCUCUGGGAGAGACGCUAUGUCAGUGGCAGGAAAGGAGCCUGUGAGCACAUCAUUUCCUGGGGCAGAGUCCCUGCCUCCAGCAUCUCCAGUGCCUGGAAACCUUCAGCAGGAGAUGAGCGAGACAGAGGUGGUAGGCAACGGGCAUGAAGUAAGUGGAGGGAGGGUCAGGAGUGUGCACACUGUGGGGAAGUGUGGCAGGCUGAGCCCUGCCACGGCCAGGCAGCUGCCGGAGUGUGUCAGGGACUGUUGCAGGGGACAACUGGGGCACGAGGGUGCCUCACAGCGAGCAGCUCUCUGGCAGCUUGGCAUGAGGGAACAGGGCUGCAGCAAACACUGAACCAAGUGCUGCCCUCAGGCCCCAUGCAGGGCCUUGCCAUGUCAGCAGGGACAAGUGGGUCGUGCGGGGAAAGGAGCCAACUAACUCAGUGUUUUUGCUUUGCUUCUCUUGCAGGAGGACAGCCUGGAGAUCAGGGACACAUUCACCCACAGCAGCACGCCAGGGGAGGGGAGACAGCCUCUGCCAACUUGUGGACCAUCCCUGUGUGUCCCUGCACCCCCUCUCAAGCCUGCACAUGCCACACGCAAAUCCUACAAUUUGACAUCCAUAAGGCGUCCCGUAGCCACCAGAAAAACCAGCAGGUCCAUGGCAGCGCGCACCCAACAGCAUUAAGGAAACACCAGCACAAGCAGCCCAGGUGCUGGCCCCCCAGGCUGGGAGCAGCCCCACACGUCGGAUACCACCAGCUCCCAGUGCUUAUCUUUCCUGUUUGUGUACACAUUGCUUCUCACCUAGCAUUUAGAUGACCAUCCCGUACAGGGAUUCCUAAUUUGGCUAAAUCUGGCUUUUCAAUCUGGAACUGAAGAAGCAGUAUAUGUAUUCUCUACAGCACAGAUAACAUACUUUGCUUCCUCUGUUCCUCUGAUUUCGGUUUCCAAAAGUACAAUAAAAUUAUUGAGUUCCAUUUUAAAUUUUCCA
rnacentral:lncRNA from 1 species